rnacentral:tRNA from 1 species
AGUAGCGUGGCUCAGUGGAAAGAGCCUGGGCUUUGGAGUCAGAGGUCAUGGGUUCGACUCCCAGCUCUGCCA